UCUGGUUGAUCCUGCCAGUAGUUACAUGCUUGUCUCAAAGAUUAAGCCAUGCAUGUCUAAGUACACACGAAUUAAAAGUGAAACCGCAAAAGGCUCAUUAUAUCAGUUAUGGUUCCUUAGAUCGUUAAGUUACUUGGAUAACUGUGGUAAUUCUAGAGCUAAUACAUGCAAUUAAAAAACGGACCUUAUGGGACGUGUGCUUUUAUUAGGCUAAAACCAAGCGAUCGCAAGAUCGUUACAUUGGUGAACUCUAGAUAACAUGCAGAUCGUAUGGUCUUGUACCGACGACAGAUCUUUCAAAUGUCUGCCCUAUCAACUUUUGAUGGUAGUGUCUAGGACUACCAUGGUUGCAACGGGUAACGGGGAAUCAGGGUUCGAUUCCGGAGAGGGAGCCUGAGAAACGGCUACCACAUCUAAGGAAGGCAGCAGGCGCGUAAAUUACCCACUCCCAGCUCGUGGAGGUAGUGACGAAAAAUAACAAUACAGGACUCAUAUCAGAGGCCCUGUAAUUGGAAUGAGUACACUUUAAAUCCUUUAACAAGGACCAAUUGAAGGGCAAGUCUGGUGCCAGCAGCCGCGGUAAUUCCAGCUCCAAUAGCGUAUAUUAAAACUGUUGCGGUUAAAACGUUCGUAGUUGAACUUGUGCUUCAUACGGGUGGUAUACCUUACAAUUGUAGUUGGUACUAUACCUUUAUGUAUGUAAGCGUAUUACCGGUGGAGUUCUUAUGUAUAAUUAAGUACUUGUAUUUUUUUAUAUAUUCCUCCUUUUUAAAAACCUGCAUUAGUGCUCUUCAUCGAGUGUUAUUGUGGGCCGGUACAAUUACUUUGAACAAAUUAGAGUGCUUAAAGCAGGCUUCAAAUGCCUGAAUAUUCUGUGCAUGGGAUAAUGAAAUAAAACCUCUGUUCUGCUUUCAUUGGUUUUCAGAUCAAGAGGUAAUGAUUAAUAGAAGCAUUUUGGGGGCAUUAGUAUUACGACGCGAGAGGUGAAAUUCUCGGACCGUCGUAAGACUAACUUAAGCGAAAGCAUUUGCCAAAGAUGUUUUCAUUAAUCAAUAUAAUAAUAUAGUGUAAUUAUCAUAUACGUAUAUACAACCUCAACUCAUAUGGGACUACCCCCUGAAUUUAAGCAUAUUAAUUAGGGGAGGAAAAGAAACUAACCAGGAUUUUCUUAGUAGCGGCGAGCGAAAAGAAAUCAGUUCAGCUCUAAGUCACUUUGUCUAUAUGGCAAACGUGAGAUGCAGUGUAUGGAGCGUCAAUAUUCUAGUAUGAGAAAUUAACGAUUUAAGUCCUUCUUAAAUGAGGCCAUUUACCCAUAGAGGGUGCCAGGCCCGUAUAACGUUAAUGAUUACUAGAUGAUGUUUCCAAAGAGUCGUGUUGCUUGAUAGUGCAGCACUAAGUGGGUGGUAAACUCCAUCUAAAACUAAAUAUAACCAUGAGACCGAUAGUAAACAAGUACCGUGAGGGAAAGUUGAAAAGAACUCUGAAUAGAGAGUUAAACAGUACGUGAAACUGCUUAGAGGUUAAGCCCGAUGAACCUGAAUAUCCGUUAUGGAAAAUUCAUCAUUAAAGUUGUAAUAUUUUAAAAAUAUUAUAAUAAUAGUGUGCAUUUUUUCCAUAUAAGGACAUUGUAAUCUAUUAGCAUAUAACAAAUUUAUCAUAAAAUAUGACUUAUAGUUUAUUCAAAUUAUUAUGCUUGCAUUUUAACAUAGAAUAAAUGUCAUUAAUUUGAUAGUGUUGAUAAAUUCAAUUUAAUACAGU
rnacentral:rRNA from 1 species